rnacentral:lncRNA from 1 species
ACAUCACUGGCCACAUCUUCAGAGAUGUGUGGCUUUGAUUCCUAAAGAAGAACUUAGCCUCAACGGAAAGACUGCUCAACAAGACAAGAUCAAAUGCACUUGAGGAUUGAAGACCUUGGCUAAUUGUUUAUUUAAGAAAGCAAGCUGAGCAACCCAGGGGGAGCAAGCCAGAAUAGAAACCCUGACUAAGAUAAUACUGGAAGGACAACGUAAAGAACACUGUAUGAGAAUCGUACGACAUGGAGUGACUG